rnacentral:snRNA from 1 species
AAAAUUUCUUGGCCUUUUAGCUAAGAUCAAGGGUAGUAUCUGUUCUUACCAGUUUAAAAUAAGGAAAAACUAAUACCUCUAAAAAGCGAAACUGGCUACAGUCUCGGGAGGUCUCCACCUACCAAAUUUUGUGACUCAAAUGGUUGAAGGUUCGACCUUACAAUUGACCACACCCCUA